UGUGCAGCCUGUGCACAUCACAAUUCCAGGGGGUGCCAUUCACAUCGACCACACUGUGACUGGUACCCUCUGGAGUUGUGCAGUGCACAACCUGGCC
rnacentral:pre_miRNA from 1 species